rnacentral:misc_RNA from 1 species
UUAAGUUCAGCGGGUAUUCCUACCUGAUCCGAGGUCAAAUUUUCAGAAGUUGGGGGUUUAACGGCAGGGCCGCACCAAGACCUUCCAAAGCGAGGGUUUAACUACUGCGCUCGGGGUCCUGGCGAGCUCGCCACUGAAUUUCAGGACCUGCCUUUUCUCAAAGGCAGUGUCCCAUCACAGCCAGCUUGAGGGUUGAAAUG